AACGCUGGCGGCAUGCCUAAGACAUGCAAGUCGAACGAGGUGGCCCAUUGAAGGAUGCGUGCUUGCACAAAUCUGGAUUUGGAUUCCCACCUAGUGGCAGACGGGUGAGUAACACGUGGGUGACCUACCUUUAAGCUGGGGAUAACAGUUAGAAAUGAUUGCUAAUACCGAAUAAGAUAUAGGAGUCAAUCUUAUAUUGAAAGAAGCCUCUAAAGCUUCACUUAGAGAUGGGCCUGCGGCGUAUUAACUAGUUGGUGGGGUAACGGCCUACCAAGGUGACGAUGCGUAGCCGAACUGAGAGGUUGAUCGGCCACACUGGGACUGAGACACGGCCCAGACUCCUACGGGAGACAGCAGUUAGGAAUAUUCGUCAAUGGGGGAAACCCUGAACGAGCAAUGCCGCGUGAAGUGAUGAAGGUCUUUGGAUUGUAAAACUCUGUUGUAUGGAAAAAACGACUAGGUUAGGAAAUGAACUUAGUGUGAUGGUACCAUACCAGAAAGCCCCGGCUAACUACGUGCCAGCAGCGGC
rnacentral:rRNA from 1 species